rnacentral:rRNA from 1 species
GCGGUGGAGCAUGUGGUUUAAUCGAUGCAACGCGAAGAACCUUACCUACUCUUGACAUCCAGAGAACUUGGCAGAGAUGCCUUGGUGCCUUCGGGAACUCUGAGACAGGUGCUGCAUGGCUGUCGUCAGCUCGUGUUGUGAAAUGUUGGGUUAAGUCCCGCAACGAGCGCAACCCUUAUCCUUUGUUGCCAGCGAUUCGGUCGGGAACUCAAAGGAGACUGCCAGUGAUAAACUGGAGGAAGGUGGGGAUGACGUCAAGUCAUCAUGGCCCUUACGAGUAGGGCUACACACGUGCUACAAUGGCGUAUACAAAGAGAAGCGACCUCGCGAGAGCAAGCGGACCUCAUAAAGUACGUCGUAGUCCGGAUUGGAGUCUGCAACUCGACUCCAUGAAGUCGGAAUCGCUAGUAAUCGUAGAUCAGAAUGCUACGGUGAAUACGUUCCCGGGCCUUGUACACACCGCCCGUCACACCAUGGGAGUGGGUUGCAAAAGAAGUAGGUAGCUUAACCUUCGGGAGGGCGCUUACCACUUUGUGAUUCAUGACUGGGGUGAAGUCGUAACAAGGUAACCAAGGGCGAAUUCCAG